AUGCGUGCUGAGGCGGACAGAGUGGAGGGCGCAGCGCUUGAGACGGAGCCGCGGCGCGGUCGCGAGCUCGACCCCGUCGAGGAGGCCGUGGCGCAGAAGGCGAAGAGGCGCGGGGCCGGACGCGGCCGGGCCCGCGGAGACGGCCUGGAGCCGGCGCGCUCAGAGCCGGCCGGCGAGCAGCAGGCGGACGAGGCGCGAGGGCGGCCGGGUUCGCGGAGGAGGCGGAGGCCGGACCGCGGAUGCGAGUGGGCUUGCACGGCGGAGCUCGAGGACAACGAGUACGCCGCGGGAUGCUCCAGCAAACGGCGCCGGACACGGCGCCGCAGGCAGAGGAGGCGAGGCCUCCCGCUGCCAGUGGCGAAGCAGCCAGGUGCGGGCGAGGCCGCGCGCGGGGAGCCGCGGACGACCGGAGGUGCUCGAAGCAAAGCACAAGACAAACCAUGGUCCGGGCAAUGUGCGAGGAAUGUCUGA
rnacentral:rRNA from 1 species